GUUGUAUUUGUGCCUGAGCAUGGCAACAUUUUCUCCGAUCAGAUUCGGUUCCAUGGAGAUUGGCUGGCCUUUCCGGUUUACGGGUAUCCAAUUAAAAGCGAACAUGAUAAACUACCGGGUCUGAUGGUCCUCCCGAUUUCUCUGAGGUAUCCUCAACCAAAUGUUCCUCAAAUUGCUGCUGCUGAAGAUAACCGUGAUCGAGCGACUGGUUGAUUUUGUCGGUGAAAUGCGAACCGUAGUUUCUGGAGUUAAUUUGAUAAUGACUGUGUAGUUAGUGGCAUUAAUUGCCAGGUUAUGAGUUUAAUUCUGAUGGUUCAUUUGGUAGAUUAGAUCAUCUGCAUGCAAUUGAGUUUAUGAUACCUUUUGGCAUAUAACUAGUAAAAAAAUGAAUUUCUUAUUUCAGUUUUGGCAUUUAAUGCUAAACAGUAGAGUCUGUAUUAUUCUUUA